rnacentral:rRNA from 1 species
AGAACGAACGCUGGCGGCAGGCUUAACACAUGCAAGUCGAACGCCCCGCAAGGGGAGUGGCAGACGGGUGAGUAACGCGUGGGAACGUACCCUUCGGUUCGGAAUAACCCAGGGAAACUUGGGCUAAUACCGGAUACGUCCGCAAGGAGAAAGGUUUACUGCCGAAGGAUCGGCCCGCGUCGGAUUAGCUAGUUGGUGGGGUAACGGCCCACCAAGGCGACGAUCCGUAGCUGGUCUGAGAGGAUGAUCAGCCACACUGGGACUGAGACACGGCCCAGACUCCUACGGGAGGCAGCAGUGGGGAAUAUUGGACAAUGGGGGAAACCCUGAUCCAGCCAUGCCGCGUGAGUGAAGAAGGCCCUAGGGUUGUAAAGCUCUUUCAGCGGGGACGAUAAUGACGGUACCCGCAGAAGAAGUCCCGGCUAACUUCGUGCCAGCAGCCGC